UACCAGCACCCCGAGUGGUCGGGACGUUUUAUUGGGCCUAAAGCAUCCGUAGCCGGUUCUACAAGUCUUCCGUUAAAUCCAACUGCUUAACAGGUGGGCUGCGGAAGAUACUAUAGAGCUAGGAGGCGGGAGAGGCAAGCGGUACUCGAUGGGUAGGGGUAAAAUCCGUUGAUCCAUUGAAGACCACCAGUGGCGAAGGCGGCUUGCCAGAACGCGCUCGACGGUGAGGGAUGAAGCUGGGGGAGCA
rnacentral:rRNA from 1 species